CGGCUCUUGCUACUGCUUUGCGUGCUGGAUGCAAUGCUCCAGCUGCUUCUUUCUACCACUGUCUUGACACCACCUUCUCCAUCCAAACAGCCUGUUAACCCACAGUUCUUGCUAUGUGACCAUCCAGGAUCUGAUUCCACAGCCCUUACUCGUGUGUGUAGUCCCAUUAAAACCAGCGGGGCGAUUCCCAGGAACGAGAGAUGCAGGGUUGUGCCGUGCAUGCACAGAAGCACUUCUGUUGUCCCUUCACCGAGCUUCCCAUCACCUCUCCCAGAAAGAGAAGCCAGUGGCUGCAGCUGGCCGUAGCUCAACGUUUCCAGCUGCAGUUGGAGACUUAAAAGCCACGGUUUUGAGUUUAAAUCGCACUGAUGGGAGUUCACAUCCUGAGCACUGGGAGUUUUGAAGCCCUAUGAUUUCCCUGAGCAGAAGACAAGGCGUUCGGCUCUGAAAACAAUGCCGCCAGAAAUACUGGAAGCGCCAAGUUACUGCUGCUUUGCUGUCUGAAAACAUUCCCGUUCUGCAAACAUUGCUUCUGAGCUCCUCAGAGGCAAGCUCAAUGCUUUGUUCAUCAGCUGGGCCUGUGGAACCUCCGAGAGAAUAAAUGAGGUCAGAUGAACGCU